rnacentral:rRNA from 1 species
CGGCACCUCAAGUGGUCAGGAUGAUUAUUUGGCCUAAAGCAUCCGUAGCCGGCGCUGUAAGUUUUCGGUUAAAUCUGUACGCUCAACGUACAGGCUGCCGGGAAUACUGCAGCGCUAGGGAGUGGGAGAGGUAGACGGUACUCGGUAGGAAGGGGUAAAAUCCUUUGAUCUAUUGAUGACCACCUGUGGCGAAGGCGGUCUACCAGAACACGUCCGACGGUGAGGGAUGAAAGCUGGGGGAGCAAACCGGAUUAGAUACCCGCGUAGUCC